CAAGUCCCGGCUAACUACGUGCCAGCAGCCGCGGUAAUACGUAGGGGGCGAGCGUAUCCGGAAUUAUUGGGCGUAAAGAGUACGUAGGUGGUUUCCUAAGCGAGGGGUUUAAGGCAAUGGCUUAACCAUUGUUCGCCCCCCGAACUGGGUUACUUGAGUGCUGGAGGGGAAAGCGGAAUUCCUAGUGUAGCGGUGAAAUGCGUAGAUAUUAGGAGGAACACCAGUGGCGAAGGCGGCUUUCUGGACAGUAACUGACACUGAGGUACGAAAGUGUGGGGAGCAAACAGGAUUAGAUACCCUGGUAGUCCACACCGUAAACGAUGAGCACUAGGUGUUGGGCUCGCAAGAGUUCGGUGCCGCAGUUAACGCAUUAAGUGCUCCGCCUGGGGAGUACGUACGCAAGUAUGAAACUCAAAGGAAUUGACGGGGACCCGCACAAGCAGCGGAGCAUGUGGUUUAAUUCGAAGCAACGCGAAGAACCUUACCAGGGCUUGACAUCCCUCUGACCGGCCGGAUAACGACGGCCUUUCUUCGGACAGAGGUGACAGGUGGUGCAUGGUUGUCGUCAGCUCGUGUCGUGAGAUGUUGGGUUAAGUCCCGCAACGAGCGCAACCCUUGUCAUUAGUUGCCAGCAUUGAGUUGGGCACUCUAGUGAGACUGCCGGGGACAACUCGGAGGAAGGUGGGGAUGACGUCAAAUCAUCAUGCCCCUUAUGUUCUGGGCUACACACGUGCUACAAUGGUCGGUACAAAGAGUCGCGAGACCGCGAGGUGGAGCCAAUCUCAAAAACCGAUCCCAGUUCGGAUUGCAGGCUGCAACUCGCCUGCAUGAAGUCGGAGUUGCUAGUAAUCGUGGAUCAGAAUGCCACGGUGAAUGCGUUCCCGGGUCUUGCACUCACCGCCCG
rnacentral:rRNA from 1 species